AGGAAAACGUUGCGAGCCGACAGACCGGCCAAGCUUUCGGCCAGCUCGCGAGCCAUGCUGGCAGCUCCAACCCCCACGAAACAAACCCCCGCAUAAGACAUGUGUACGCGGUGGACCUCACACAACCGCCCCCUACUCCUAUCCUUAUCCUUUCCCUGGACUUUCCUUUUGGCUUUUCUUCAAUCUCCAGCCGCGGCAUCCUCUGCUCUCCAGAACCACGAUUUUCUCUCCUCUACGCUGCUCAUGAACCAACACAAGCUCCCCUCACCGGCGGCCAUUGUUUGUCGCAACCAGUAGCUGCUAGCGGGGGAGACCGGGGGGAGGGGAGGGGGGGCUCUGGAUAUGCUGGAACCAGAGUCCACGGCUCCACGCGUGCUGCAACCAGCACGGCCGGCGGUGAAGACGACGAGCUCCGAUGCUGCAACUAGAGAUUUUUAUUGCUGGAACCAGACGGCAAAAAAGCUGCAACCACUUUUGGCAGGUGCUGGAACCGGACGGCGUCGAGUUCGUUUUUGCUGGAACUGGCAAGAAAAAUUGUUGGAACCGACAAGAUUUUUUGCUGCAUGGGCAGGGAACACGAUGGUCUGAGCGGACGACGGCGACGAGCGGAGGCGGUGAUGCGUGGAGAUGAUGCAACCACAAUGGGUGCGAGCUGGAACAGGCCGGUGGGUGAGUUGCAGUCACCCACCGGGGACGAGCGCGGUCGACACGGGUGGCCGGCGAGCAGGAGCGGCAAAACGGCGGGCAUGGGUGGCUUGGGGUCGCCGGCGAGCGUGGGUUGCAAGGGGGACGAACGCGGCAGCCGGCGAACACAGGGGAUUUCUUUUUGUUUCCAAAUCACGCGCUUUGACAGAAGGGAGGAAGGAAAAGGACCCGGAUCUGACGGUCGUAACAGAGCAAAUCGGACGAUAGGGCAGCGACCGGCCCAAAUUUGGGCCGGCGCACCGGCCCCUAUCAUUGCCCUAUGGAAAAAAGCAUGGGUUGGUGAGAGGAGAGAGGUCACAUGAAAAGGAAAAGUUAACAGUGUGAAAAAAAGUGAUCGGUUGAUGUGACCCAUUUGACAUGCAUGAACACGAAUCUUCAUCAUGCAUGAUCAACAGCCAAUGCAUGCACGGGAUGUCCCAUGCAUGGUAGAUAUAUUUUUCUCUUCACUACACGUAGUCUGAAGUUUGAACACUUCUUAAUCAAGUUACAAAUGGCAGCUAUAGAGCGCGAGACUGAAGGCACUGAUUAUUGCAAUAUUUGAUCUCAGCUUUAUUUGUAUCAGCAAAUAUAUAUUUUCUAUGGAUUUUGAAAUAAUAAUCAAAAUUGAGAUUUAGUAUCA